AAUAAUAGUAAUGUUCUUGAAACCCAAAGAAUUGGCGGUAUUUUAUUCUUUUUAGGAGGACCCUGUCCCUGUAAUUGAUAAUCCCACGAUAGGAAUUUACUAAUUUUGUUUCCAUUUUGUAUACCUCCGGUCAAUCAGAGUAUCCUUUUAGGGUUAAAUAUUCUUAAUAUAUAAAAUAUUGUAUGUCAGGUCCAAGGUGCAAUUAAUAGAUAAGUAGAGAUGGGUUACAAUAAAUUUAUUUAGACGGAUUAUUAUUUUUAAUGAUAGUAUAAAGGUGGAUUUAAAAGUAAAAUUAUUUUAUUUAUUGAUUUGAUGACAGCCCUAAAAUAUGCACACAUCGCCCGUCGCUCUUAUUUUAAAAUAAGAUAAGUCGUAACAUAGUAGGUGUACCGGAAGGUGUUCCUAGAAA
rnacentral:rRNA from 1 species